GCGAGGUUCUUCGGAACCUACCGGCGGAUGGGUGAGUAACACGUGGGUAACCUGCCUGUAAGACUGGGAUAACUUCGGGAAACCGAAGCUAAUACCGGAUACUUUCGAGCAUCGCAUGAUGCUUGAUGGAAAGACGGCUUCGGCUGUCACUUACAGAUGGACCCGCGUCGCAUUAGCUAGUUGGUGAGGUAACGGCUCACCAAGGCGACGAUGCGUAGCCGACCUGAGAGGGUGAUCGGCCACACUGGGACUGAGACACGGCCCAGACUCCUACGGGAGGCAGCAGUCGGGAAUCUUCGGCAAUGGGCGAAAGCCUGACCGAGCAACGCCGUGUGAGCGAUGAAGGCCUUCGGGUCGUAAAGCUCUGUUGUUAAAGGAAGAACAAGUACGAGAGUAACUGCUCGUACCUUGACGGUACUUAACG
rnacentral:rRNA from 1 species